GAAUAUGAAGCGAUAUAUCGCAAUUAGUUUCGACCUAUUUUUAGAUGCUUAAAAACAUCCUUAUUCU
rnacentral:tRNA from 1 species